ensembl:lncRNA
GCCCUGAGUACCAGGCCAUUAGGACCUGAUGGAGGGACACUAGAGCACUGAGUAACAGGCCAUUAGGACCUGAUGGAGGGACAACAGAGCCCUGAGUACAAGGCCAUUAGGACCUGAUGGUAGUUAGCUAUUUGGAUUCUACCAAAGCAUGUCCAGAGUGCAUAACAGGAGAUUACAGUGACGUGGAAUUUUACUGCUGUCUUGACUCAUGACUGCUGGUGUGAUGAUAAUACAGUCACUAAUACAGGUUUCAUUUACUAAACAAUAUAACAAAAAUAGACACUCUAUCUCACUUCAAACAAAGUCAAUCAGGUGAUUUAUAAUGUUAACAUAAGCUCUUACUGUUUACCACUGGAGAGAGGAUCAUCAGCAUUCUAAAUGUCUGAGUCACUUCCUUGUAGUCAGAGGUGCCUCUCUGAAACUGAAAGUUAUGAGGUCUUCCCAGAAGCUUAAAAACUCCAUAACAAGAAAGUUAUCACAUGUUGCCACAAAUAGUGACUUUAUUUUUUUACACCAGUGUGUUCUCCUAGCAAUCCCCAUCUGCAAACACACACCAUUUAAUCACAUCCGAUUUUGGGUGGAGAACAACCAUUUUAAAAGCUUAAUUGUGUAAUAUAUAACAUUUAGCUGACACUUUUACACAAAGCGACUUUCCUGCAUAUAUUUUCGACAUGGGUGGUCCCAGCUGGAAUCGAACCCACAAUGCUGCUGGUGCAAGUGAUGUACAAUUGUGUGUGUGUAUAUCAGAUGACUUUCAUUAAAAGCAUUCAUGUGGAAGAGAUGUGGAAAGUACUUGAUCCAAAGUUAUUGACUGUAUAAACCUAAUCUCUGUCAGGCUGAUACAUGCCCCGUGGUUCUGUUUAAUGUCCCAGGAUCAAGGUUUCCUAUGAAGCCAUAUCGUGACGAAGAGGCUUUCGUGGGGUAAACAGACACAAACAAAGGGUGUGGUGUGUGUGUGUGUGUGUGUGUGUUUGUGUGAGGUGGGCUGGGCUGGGCUGCAGCUGGUAGGUUCACACACAGCUGCUCUCUGUGUCUGGAUCUUUCGCUGUCUGUCAGCUAAUCACCAACAACAUGCAGUGACACACACACACACACACACACCCAUAAUUACCCAAUCAGCAGCCCCUGUUCACAUAUCAUCCUUCCAGACCACGUACACACAGCCACAAUUAGGCUUACCCCUCAGUAUCCUAUGUCCACAUACACAAACACACAUACACACACAUGCACCUGAGUCCUGGCACUCCGUCUACCCUUGUUCACCCAGGACGAGGCCCAUUUUCUCUCCGACCCGUCUUGUCAGAGAUCACGUCAUCAGUCACAGCUGAACAUGUACCUGAGCCCUAGGACCAUGCCUCAGGACUACCUGGCAUGAUGACUCCUUGCUGUCCCCAGUCCACCUGGCCGUGCUGCUGCUCGUCGGGCUUCCAUGCCUUAGCUGGCUCAUCGGGCUUCCAUGCCUUAGCUGGCUCAUCGGGCUUCCAUGCCUUAGCUGGCUCAUCGGGCUUCCAUGCCUUAGCUGGCUCGAGAGGUCUUCUUGUCUUGGUGGGCUCGGCAGGCACCCACCCCACAUCAUGAUUCAGCCGGCUCACCAAGACUCCAACGCCUCUGUCGGCUCGCCAGGCUCCAACGCCUCUGUCGGCUCGCCAGGCUCCCACACCUCUGCCGGCUUGCCCAUGGCUCGGCCGGCCCGUCAGGCUCGCCCAGGUGGGACCCCGGGUGACGCCCCUAGAGGGGGGGGUACUGUCACGCCUGCUCCCGCUCUCCCUCUCUGGUGCUCGAGUGCGCCAGGCUGCCCUUCAUUACGCACACCUGUCACCAUGAUUACGCACAGCUGUCAAUAUUGGACUCACCUGGACAACAUUACUUUGUUGAUUACCCCCUCUAUUUCUGUCUGCUCCUCAGUUUGUUCCCUGUGUCAGCAUUGAUGUUGUUAUUUUUCACCUGUCCAGACGCUGUUCAUGUUCUGUUUCAUGUCCGUAUUACAUUAAAUGUUCACUCCCUGUACCUUCUUCUUGUCUUCAACAUUGUUCCUUACAAAUAUAGUGUAGAAGAGGUCAGACAAUGCGUUUUGUAGAGAUUCCUAUGUUGUUGAUGUAAAGGUAUAUUCAUCACAAAACCCACUGACACUCCACAUCCAAGUAUAACUGAUCAAAUUAUGAAAGACAAGCAUUGCACUUUUGAAUUCCGUAAAGUGAGUGUGGAAGAGGUUCAACAAUUGUUGUCUAUCAACAAUGACAAGCCACGGGGUCUGACAACUUGGAAUUAAAAUUACUGAGGAUAAUAGUGGACGAUAUUUUCCAUAUAUUCAAUCUAAGCCUACUAGAAAAUGAGUGCCCUCAGGCCUGGAGG